UACACAUACCCUUUUUGCUUGCUGGUCCCUUUGGCUACCUCGCCGCGCUCCUUCAGCCCCAUGCGCCUCCAUGUUUGCGCACAUAUCACCUGCAUACAUAGCACCACCAGCGUUGCAAGAGGCAUGGUGACAAGCCUUUCCCCGAGUCUCACAUGCUGUAUACAUGCCGUGUUCGUUGAGCUGCCCACUGCACACAUGUCUUUGUGCUCCUUUUCAUGUUAAUUGCGUCGCAAAACCUGACUUACCACCAAAACGCAAAAGCGCCAUUGCCAGCAGCACAUGCACCGAUGCCGAGCGCGCAGACGAAGGUUGACAUGAGGAUAAGGCUGCCGGGGAAUUGUAAGCACAUAUUUGCAUGCAUAAGUGAUUGCAAACUAUUAGGACCCCGUGCGAAAGCGCAGGCAGGGCAAACGCAUGGUUGUUGACCGCGACAGCAAAACACUGCUGUAGACGCUUUGAGCUGAUACAAUGCGAGUUCUCAGUCAGAACCUUACAUUCUCGGGCUGUGAGCCUGUUUGGCCUUGAAUCUUGUGCAGGUCGGCGAUGCUGAGCGACAAAGGCCUCCCCUUUGACCAAGUUUGUAGCACCUCCGCCAACCCCUCAGGCAUGCUCGCAAGCUUGUGUCUAACAAAGUUGCUAUGAAAUAGCAUCAUGCAGUAUCAUAGAGGGUUUGUGAACGUGGAACACUGCAUGCUGAUAUCGCUUGCAACGGUGAUAGGCUGUAACAGCUCAGCGAUACAUUUAACAGCUUGUAAGUAUUAAGUCUGUAGCGUAUAAUAUGAGUCUUAUGAGAGAGUCAUACUAUUAAGUUGAGAAGCUGAAUGUAGGGUCCCCCCAAGCAGCAGUGCUGCCCCAUUGCGCAUGCCAGCUCCCUUCCCAGAUCUGGUAAUGCCAUUGCUAGGACGCAUAAUCCAAUGUGAGCGGUUGCGUCAGAUGCGGG
rnacentral:lncRNA from 1 species